UUGACAAUCCUUCUCUAUAUGCUUACUACAUCAUUGGUUAUUACAGAUGCUCUCUAUUCAAGAUUUACUAUGUUUCUGAAAGAUUUCUUGCAUGUUUCAUUCUUAUUGGUUAGUAAAAAGCUGAAAGGAUUUGCAGUUAUUGACAAAUUGUUUCCUUCCUCUUCCCGCAUUUGAACAACAAUGUUCAUGGAAGUAUUACACUGAAUUCACCAAGCUUCUUGAGAUUUUGGCAUGUUCCCCUGCAUCAAUCUUAAGCCCUCAGUUCCUUAUAAAAGAUCAUAAUUACAUUAAUUACAUCGGAAGUAUAUUUGAUCAUCAUUUUCUCGUUUCAAGUCAACAUUCUUCCUCCUUCUGCCAUUUGUAACUCAACAUUCCAAAACUAUAUGCAACCGACUUGUAGAAAACGUUCCCAAAGUUCCUUGAGAACAAUUUGUAGCCAAUGGUUGCUCCAGCACGCUCUGGUUGAGCAGUAUUUUACGUGGAUUUCAAUUCGGACUAGGAGCACUUUGGCAAGAAAACUCUGUUGCAUCAGACCAUUGGGUCCUGUGUAAACAGUAGAAGAUUGUGCAAUUCUCCAAUUGAUAAUGAUGAAACUGAAAGGGAGAAGCAGAUAAAUUCAAGUUUGGAAGCUGUUUUAGAAGACAACCUUGUAAAUCAUUUG
rnacentral:lncRNA from 1 species